CGAAAUAUCAAUACCAGUCGUGUUUGAUUUGGCGAGUGGACUAGUUGAGAUUUUCUUGUUGAGUGGUAGUGGUGAUCAUCAUGAAUUGUUAAAUUAUGUUUGAAUAAGUUAAAAUAUGCUUAGAAUUUUCCAAAUCUGGUAUAGUAAAAAAAUGUUUGAAGAUGCUUGAACAUAAUUACAUGUAUUGCCACUGGAUUACAAAAUAUACCAUACAUUGUGUGGGUCAAACAAUAUCACAGAUUCUCAUCACCACCCAACCGAUUCCAGUAGUACACAAUCCAAAUUAAUUUCUGUGACCAGAGAUUAAAAGGACCUUAAGCGAAAAGUUUAUUGUUAUUAACAAAUGGCAUUAGGCGUAAUAUAUAAAAAUAAAAUUGCUACCGUCUAUAGCACAUCUUUACUAAGUUAAUUUACAUCGAUAAAUAAUAAAAACUAUUUAUUUUCAUCACUGAUUUCGUCUUCACAACGCAAAUCGUGGUUCAUUAAUUAAUCACCAAUGGAGUCUGUUUAUUUAGUCAUAUGAAAUGGACAAAUCCGGUGAUGAAUGCGAGAUACUUACAUUGGGUUCCAGAGAAUCUAAUACUAAAAAAUGUUUGCCAUUUCGUCUGGUCAAAGAGUUACACAAAAAAAUUUAUGUCGUGAAUUCAUCGAAAUAAAUGAAAUCAUAAAUGCGUAUACUAAAGUGUCAGUUUGACCAAAUUUCCUCUUGAGAUGUUUCAAUCUUUCAGCAAAAGACAACACGUAAGACGUUUACUUGAUCAGAUAACGUCUCAAAUGCGUAAAGCUUCCAUAUUAAAUCUCCAACAGACGAAUAACAAAAUAAUACUGGAGAUGAGCAAAUAUUUUCAAUAUUAUGAAUACUACAUUUGGUGAACCGAUAUCUUGGAUUAAAACUAUAUCGCAUAACAGUUUGGACUGAAUGUGAGCAGAAGUUAGGAAGUUUUGGUUAUAUAAAUAGUUGUCAAUACUAACUUUUUUUUAAAAGCAGUACAAAAUUUUAAACCACUAUUUAAGUACAGCAAAUUGAAAUCAUUUCAAUACCAGUAAUUUCCAGUAAUACCAGUAAUUUACAAGCAUAAAUACCGAUGUAAGAUGUCUAGAAUCAUCUCACCGGAGAGGAGUAAAGAACAGAUAAGCUAAAAUAUUUUUACUAUUAACAUUUUUUUCAAUAAUAUGUGCUAAAUUAAGCAACAUAAUCUUAUUUAAAUAAUAUAAAUUGAUUUUGUUGGCAAAUAAUACUACAUUAUAAAAGCGGUGUUAAAAGUUUUUACAAUUACUGCGAUUUUUACAAUUACUGCGAAAAAAUGUUAAAGGAUCAUUGGAUAAAUAUUGAAGCCUAAUAUGAUUAGGCUUAAUGUACUUUAAACUAAUAAAUAUACUAAUGAAUUUGUCCUGAAUAAUUAAAUAAU